UUGGUUAGAGCACAUCACUCAUAAUGAUGGGGUCACAGGUUCGAAUCCCGUCGUAGCCACCA
rnacentral:tRNA from 1 species